rnacentral:rRNA from 1 species
GUCGAACGCGGUCCAACCGGUGGCAACACUGGUGAAGACUGAGUGGCGAACGGGUGAGUAACACGUGAGCAACCUGCCCCGAAGACCGGGAUAACACCGGGAAACCGGUGCUAAUACCGGAUGCCCCCAUCAGGCCGCAUGACCUGGUGAGGAAAUGGAUUCCGCUUCGGGAGGGGCUCGCGGCCUAUCAGCUUGUUGGUGAGGUAACGGCUCACCAAGGCGACGACGGGUAGCUGGUCUGAGAGGACGAUCAGCCACACUGGGACUGAGACACGGCCCAGACUCCUACGGGAGGCAGCGGUGGGGAAUCUUGCGCAAUGGGCGAAAGCCUGACGCAGCAACGCCGCGUGAGGGACGAAGGCUUUCUGAGUCGUAAACCUCUUUCAGCAGGGACGAUAAUGACGGUACCUGCAGAAGAAGCCCCGGCCAACUACGUGCCAGCAGCCGCGGUGAUACGUAGGGGGCGAGCGUUGUCCGGAUUUAUUGGGCGUAAAGAGCUCGUAGGCGGUUUGGUAAGUCGGAUGUAAAACCUCCAGGCUCA